AACGAACGCUGGCGGCAUGCCUAACACAUGCAAGUCGAACGAGACCUUCGGGUCUAGUGGCGCACGGGUGCGUAACGCGUGGGAAUCUGCCCUUAGGUUCGGAAUAACAGUUAGAAAUGACUGCUAAUACCGGAUGAUGACUUCGGUCCAAAGAUUUAUCGCCUGAGGAUGAGCCCGCGUAGGAUUAGCUUGUUGGUGAGGUAAAGGCUCACCAAGGCGACGAUCCUUAGCUGGUCUGAGAGGAUGAUCAGCCACACUGGGACUGAGACACGGCCCAGACUCCUACGGGAGGCAGCAGUGGGGAAUAUUGGACAAUGGGCGCAAGCCUGAUCCAGCAAUGCCGCGUGAGUGAUGAAGGCCUUAGGGUUGUAAAGCUCUUUUACCCGGGAUGAUAAUGACCGUACCGGGAGAAUAAGCUCCGGCUAACUCCGUGCCAGCAGCCGCGGUAAUACGGAGGGAGCUAGCGUUGUUCGGAAUUACUGGGCGU
rnacentral:rRNA from 1 species